rnacentral:lncRNA from 1 species
GAGGUUGCUCUCAAGCUGUCUAAGAUGGAACAAUUCACCGGCCGAUCUGCUCCCACUGUCAUUACAUAGAUCAAUCUACAUUUCCACACAGAGCAUCAGACUGUAUGUCUUCUCGAGUAUAAUAAAACACUAAGAAAGCUUUUCACUACAUGGCUGAUACUAUAUGUAGCUUUUGUAGUGGCCUCGUGAUAGUAGCCAAUACUAGAGAUGCUUUAUAAUAUCUUUUUUUUUCCCUUCCGUUUUUUCCCAGAAUAAUUUGCAU